rnacentral:rRNA from 1 species
GAUGAACGCUGACAGAAUGCUUAACACAUGCAAGUCUACUUGAAUUUGGGUUUUUUAACUUAGAUUUGGGUGGCGGACGGGUGAGUAACGCGUAAAGAACUUGCCUCACAGCUAGGGACAACAUUUGGAAACGAAUGCUAAUACCUGAUAUUAUGAUUAUAAGGCAUCUUAGAAUUAUGAAAGCUAUAUGCGCUGUGAGAGAGCUUUGCGUCCCAUUAGCUAGUUGGAGAGGUAACGGCUCACCAAGGCGAUGAUGGGUAGCCGGCCUGAGAGGGUGAACGGCCACAAGGGGACUGAGACACGGCCCUUACUCCUACGGGAGGCAGCAGUGGGGAAUAUUGGACAAUGGACCAAGAGUCUGAUCCAGCAAUUCUGUGUGCACGAUGAUGUUUUUCGGAAUGUAAAGUGCUUUCAGUUGGGAAGAAAAAAAUGACGGUACCAACAGAAGAAGUGACGGCUAAAUACGUG